AGUAACACGUAGGUAACCUGCCCAUGUGCCCGGGAUAACUUCUGGAAACGGAUGCUAAAACCGGAUAGGUAGCAGACAAGCAUUUGACUGCUAUUAAAGUGGCUAAGGCCAUGAACAUGGAUGGACCUGCGGUGCAUUAGCUAGUUGGUGAGGUAACGGCCCACCAAGGCGACGAUGCAUAGCCGGCCUGAGAGGGCGAACGGCCACAUUGGGACUGAGACACGGCCCAAACUCCUACGGGAGGCAGCAUG
rnacentral:rRNA from 1 species